AGCGAACGUUAGCGGCGGGCUUAACACAUGCAAGUCGCACGAGAUAGGAGACUUCGGUCUCUGUGUAAAGUGGCGGACGGGUGCGUAACACGUGGCUAACCUGCCCUCCAGUUGGGGAUAACUGUCCGAAAGGAUAGCUAAUACCGAAUUCGUCGGCCGGGUCUUCGGACCUGGUCGGGAAAGCCGGCCUCUACAUGUAAGCUGGCGCUGGAGGAGGGGGCCGCGGCCCAUCAGCUAGUUGGUGAGGUAAUGGCUCACCAAGGCUAAGACGGGUAGCUGGUCUGAGAGGAUGAUCAGCCACACUGGGACUGAGACACGGCCCAGACUCCUACGGGAGGCAGCAGUGGGGAAUAUUGGGCAAUGGGCGCAAGCCUGACCCAGCCACGCCGCGUGAGUGAUGAAGGCCUUCGGGUCGUAAAGCUCUGUGGGGAGGGACGAAAGCCCGGAAGCUAAUAUCUUCCGGUUUGACGGUACCUCCUUAGCAAGCACCGGCUAACUCCGUGCCAGCAGCCGC
rnacentral:rRNA from 1 species